rnacentral:tRNA from 1 species
GGGCUCGUAGCUCAGCCUGGUUAGAGCGUUCGGCUUUUAACCGAAAUGUCGAGGGUUCGAACAUGCUGAAACAGCAAAGCAGUUGUUGCUGGCUUUCAGGUCGAAAGUCCCUCCGGGCCCA